CAGCCGCCGCGGGAAUACGUAGGUGGCAAGCGUUGUCCGGAAUUAUUGGGCGUAAAGGGCUCGCAGGCGGUUUCUUAAGUCUGAUGUGAAAGCCCCCGGCUCAACCGGGGAGGGUCACUGGAAACUGGGAAACUUGAGUGCAGAAGAGGAGAGUGGAAUUCCACGUGUAGCGGUGAAAUGCGUAGAGAUGUGGAGGAACACCUGUGGCGAAGGCGACUCUCUGGUCUGUAACUGACGCUGAGGAGCGAAAGCGUGGGGAGCGAACAGGAUUAGAUACCCGUGUAGUCCCUGUCUCUUAUAC
rnacentral:rRNA from 1 species